rnacentral:rRNA from 1 species
UGGGGAAUUUUCCGCAAUGGGGGCAACCCUGACGGAGCAACGCCGCGUGAGGGAGGAAGGUCUGUGGAUUGUAAACCUCUUUUCUCUGGGAAGAAGAACUGACGGUACCAGAGGAAUAAGCAUCGGCUAACUCCGUGCCAGCAGCCGCGGUAAGACGGAGGAUGCAAGCGUUAUCCGGAAUUAUUGGGCGUAAAGCGUCCGUAGGCGGCUUCGUAAGUCAACUGUUAAAGACUGGGGCUUAACCCUGGGAGAGCAGUUGAAACUGUGAGGCUAGAGAGCGGUAGGGGUAGAGGGAAUUCCUAGUGUAGCGGUGAAAUGCGUAGAUAUUAGGAAGAACACCAGUGGCGAAGGCGCUCUACUGGGCCGUGACUGACGCUGAUGGACGAAAGCUAGGGGAGCGAAAGGGAUUAGAUACCCCCGUAGUCC